GCAAGCUAGUGUUCAGACGAUUUGGAUAUUUUGAGGAUUUUAGUGUUGUGUCAAGGAUUUUCCCCGUUUAAGUAUUCCCGUGUCCCAUCUCCAUGACCUGCUGUGAAGCGGAUGAUUCAGACACUGAAAUGCCAAGAGAGAAAGAUCAUAUGAGCAUGACGGAACUCGAAGCACCAAUCAAUGGCCACCCAGAAAUGGACAGAGGUAGCAUGGCCGCAGAUAACAAAAAACGCUACAAGCAUCACCGUAACCUUAUAUGGUCAUUAUUCGCGACAGUAAUCGGAUGCCCAUUAUGUGGAGUCGUUGCAGUAUAUUACGCAAUUACAUCAGCUGAUUCCUGGGAUUAUGGCGAUAUUAAGGACUCACGCCGAAGGGCUAGAUUAUCGAUGAGGUGGUCAAUGUAUAGCAUGUGUACAUUCUUAUUGGUCCUUGCGGGUGUAGUUGCCGCUGUUGUAUAUGCCGUCUUAGGACUUAUGCCAAUGAUGAAAGACUUCAAAAUGAACAUCGGGAUUGUCGGUCCGCUAGAAGUGGAUAUAGUUUAAGCUUCAUGGUAAAUGGAUAUAGAUGGAGUUUAAAAUAUUAUGUAUGCAAAAUUGAUGCUUUUCGUCACUACACAAAAUCAUUAAGUGUUUUAAACAAAAAGUUUAUAUACAAAAUAUGGAUACAAACCACUAAAUCUACAUGAAUAAUGAAAGAUGAUGGAGAUAAAAGUAUUAGAAUAUGCACAAAGGAACACUAUGAAUUACAUAUAUACUGGU
rnacentral:misc_RNA from 1 species